GGAGGUGGAGGUGACGGGGAUGGUGGUGGAGGUGAUUUGUAAUAGUAGGGAGGUGGUGGAGAUGGCGAUGGUGGUGGUGGAGAGUGAUAGUAGUAUGGGGGAGGAGGGGACGGAGAAGGUGGGGGUGGGCUCUUGUAAUAGUAUGGAGGUGGAGGAGAUGGAGAUGGUGGAGGGGGACUCUUGUAGUAGUAAGGAGGUGGUGGAGAUGGCGAUGGUGGUGGUGGAGAGUGGUAGUAGUAUGGGGGAGGAGGGGAGGGAGACGGUGGAGGUGGACUCUUGUAAUAGUACGGAGGUGGAGGGGAUGGAGAUGGUGGAGGGGGACUCUUGUAAUAGUAUGGAGGUGGAGGUGAUGGGGAUGGUGGUGGAGGUGAUUUGUAGUAAUAAGGAGGUGGUGGAGAUGGCGAUGGUGGUGGUGGAGACUUGUAGUAGUAAGGUGGGGGAGGGGAUGGUGAGGGUGGUGGAGGAGAUUUGUAAUAGUAUGGAGGUGGAGGGGAUGGUGAUGGUGGAGGUGGUGACUUGUAAUAGUAUGGUGGAGGAGGGGAUGGUGAUGGUGGUGGUGGAGACUUGUAGUAGUAAGGUGGGGGAGGGGAUGGUGAAGGUGGUGGAGGAGACUUGUAGUAGUAAGGUGGGGGAGGGGAUGGUGAAGGUGGUGGAGGAGACUUGUAGUAGUAAGGUGGGGGAGGGGAUGGUGAAGGUGGUGGAGGAGACUUGUAAUAGUAUGGUGGAGGAGGGGAUGGUGAUGGUGGGGGUGGUGACUUAUAGUAGUAUGGUGGGUGUGGAAUUUCUUUAGGUGGGGGAGGAGAAUGAUAAUAGUAUGGUGGAGGGGGGGAUGAUCUUGGAGGUGGAGGAGAUUUGUAAUAGUAUAAGGUGGGGGAGGGGAUGGUGAAGGUGGUGGAGGAGACUUGUAGUAGUAAGGUGGGGGAGGGGAUGGUGAAGGUGGUGGAGGAGACUUGUAAUAGUAUGGUGGAGGAGGGGAUGGUGAUGGUGGGGGUGGUGACUUAUAGUAGUAUGGUGGGUGUGGAAUUUCUUUAGGUGGGGGAGGAGAAUGAUAAUAGUAUGGUGGAGGGGGGGAUGAUCUUGGAGGUGGAGGAGAUUUGUAAUAGUAUGGAGGUGGAGGGGAUGGAGAUGGUGGUGGUGGAGACUUGUAGUAAUAAGGUGGAGAAUAAUAAUGGACGGGUGGAGGCGGAGAUUUGUACUUAUAGACUGGUGUUGGAGGAGGAGGUGAUUUGUAGUAGUAAGGAGGGUUAGGUAUAGGUGAUGGUGGAGGUGGAGACUUGUAGUAAUAUGGAGGAGAAUAGUAAUGUACAGGUGGAGGUGGAGACUUGUACACGUAAGUAGGUGAUGGUGGAGGUGGUGACUUGUACAAGUAAGUAGGUGAUGGUGGAGGAGGUGAUUUGUACAAGUAAGUUGGUGAUGGUGGUGGUGGGGAAUUGUACUUGUAAACUGGUGUUGGAGGAGGAGGUGACUUGUAGUAGUAAGGAGGUGUAGGUACAGGAGAUGGUGGAGGUGGAGAAUUGUAAUAAUAAGGGGGUGAUUUCACAGGAGGGGGAG
rnacentral:lncRNA from 1 species